rnacentral:rRNA from 1 species
AGAGUUUGAUCCUGGCUCAGGAUGAACGCUGGCGGCGUGCCUAACACAUGCAAGUUGAGCGAUUUACUUCGGUAAAGAGCGGCGGACGGGUGAGUAACGCGUGGGUAACCUACCCUGUACACACGGAUAACAUACCGAAAGGUAUGCUAAUACGGGAUAAUAUAUUUGAGAGGCAUCUCUUGAAUAUCAAAGGUGAGCCAGUACAGGAUGGACCCGCGUCUGAUUAGCUAGUUGGUAAGGUAACGGCUUACCAAGGCGACGAUCAGUAGCCGACCUGAGAGGGUGAUCGGCCACAUUGGAACUGAGACACGGUCCAAACUCCUACGGGAGGCAGCAGUGGGGAAUAUUGCACAAUGGGCGAAAGCCUGAUGCAGCAACGCCGCGUGAGUGAUGAAGGCCUUCGGGUCGUAAAACUCUGUCCUCAAGGAAGAUAAUGACGGUACUUGAGGAGGAAGCCCCGGCUAACUACGUGCCAGCAGCCGCGGUAAUACGUAGGGGGCUAGCGUUAUCCGGAUUUACUGGGCGUAAAGGGUGCGUAGGCGGUCUUUCAAGUCAGGAGUGAAAGGCUACGGCUCAACCGUAGUAAGCUCUUGAAACUGGGAGACUUGAGUGCAGGAGAGGAGAGUGGAAUUCCUAGUGUAGCGGUGAAAUGCGUAGAUAUUAGGAGGAACACCAGUUGCGAAGGCGGCUCUCUGGACUGUAACUGACGCUGAGGCACGAAAGCGUGGGGAGCAAACAGGAUUAGAUACCCUGGUAGUCCACGCUGUAAACGAUGAGUACUAGGUGUCGGGGGUUACCCCCUUCGGUGCCGCAGCUAACGCAUUAAGU